rnacentral:rRNA from 1 species
UACAGUGGCGACCGGGUGAGUAACACGUGACUAACCUACCUUCGAGUGGGGGAUAACUCCGGGAAACCGGAGCUAAUACCGCAUAACAUCGCAAGAUCAAAGCAGCAAUGCGCUUGAAGAGGGGGUCGCGGCUGAUUAGCUAGUUGGCGGGGUAAUGGCCCACCAAGGCGAAGAUCGGUAUCCGGCCUGAGAGGGCGCACGGACACACUGGAACUGAAACACGGUCCAG